rnacentral:lncRNA from 1 species
CUCUCGUAGCCCUGGAGCCAGAAGUCUGAAAUCAAGGUGUCAGCAGGCUGGGCUCGCUCUGGAGGCUCCUGGGAGGAGCUUCCAGCUCCUGGUGGCCCCAGGGGAGCCUCAGCUGUGGCUGUAACCAUCCAACCUCUGCUGUGUCUUUGCAUGGCCUCCUGUCCCCUAGUCUUUGUGUUCUCUGGUCUUCUAGGUGUUAUAAUAACACCUGUCACUGGAUUCAGGGCCCACCUGAGUUCAAGAUGUUCUCAUCUCCAGAUCUAUGAUUAUAUCCACGAAGACCUUUUGUCUGAAAAGACCUCAUUCAGAGACUGGCGUGAGAGCUUGGCCAUAUCUUUUGGGAGGACACUGCUCAACACAUAUUAUAAGCAGGAAGGUAAAUAGAGCAAGCACACAUGUAUGAUGAGAAUGUAAGCACACCAAGGCCAGGAUGAAUCUGGAUCCUUUGAAUAAGAGCAUUCAAUAAAGUAUAGGCUGGCUAUAUGUCUAAAACUACUCUCCCGCGGUGGGACUGGGGUGUUUGUGUGGGAGAGAAAUGCCAUCCUUCCUUCCUAUGAGAGGCUCACAACCACAUCCCAGUGCUCAGGACUGUGCAACCAGCAGGAGGCCUGAGGCUAGGCUACAGGACCCCAGCCUUGCGGCUUUUGCUGUGUGCAAUGCUGCUUUGCCAAAUCAUACCCGGUUCCUGAGGGAGGCUCUCUUUCAGUGGAUGUGUGUGCACACACAUGUGUGCACGCGUGGUGUGACACAGACAACAAACAAGUCAGAAUCCUCAGUGGGGUGGAAGAAGCUCAGCUGGAGAAGGGAAAGUCUCUGGCAACAGGACAGGGAAGCUGAGUGUGGCCUGUGUCCCCAACAGGCAUCAUGCUGCCUCCCUGCUCUGCUGCACUGGCUGUACUGCCCUGUCUCCUGCAUCUCUUGCUCCCAGCCUCUUCUCACUGAUGGCUCUCUGUUCUACUUUAUGUGUCUUUGUAAGCCGCCUUAAAUCCUUUUUGAACAAGGCAGGGCAUAAAUAGAUAAAUAAAUAAAACCCCCAUGUCGCAAAUUUUAAAACAUCUUUCCCAAGGCCCUGCUCAUUCCAGAAUGAUCCAUUCAUAACUCCUUUGACAACUUCUGGGCCAGACCCAGGCACUGCGAGGCUCAGAAAAACAAGCUGGUUCAGGAGCCAGGCUUCAUCAUUCACCACCCUUCCAGGUCCUUGUGCAAUGCCACUGGAAGGAGACAGCUCACCAGCACUGCCCUUGUUCUGAAGUUGGACUGAGGACCUGCCCAGCUCCAGCCUGGUGAGCCCUGUUUCAGAGGAAGGCAAGUCCUCCAGCAAACCCUGGUGCUCUUCAAGAUGAGUGACCCUCCUCUUCUGUGCAUGUACUCCAAGCCGACCCAUCUGGAGCGUCCAUGGUUUGAGGUCAGAAUUAGGACACUCUCGCCUCGGCCUCAGAGGCUGACAUAUGAUCUCAAAGCCUGGCCUCCUGGGUCCCCCCACCGACUGGAUGAGAGCAUGCAAGUGAAGAGCUCACAGGCUGGCAUACAAUCAACACCUGACCCAGGCUCAAAGGGCAAGCUGGGAGUGAGCCACGAUCUCAGCAGAUCUGAAGUCAUGGAUUGAACAGCUUUUCUCCACCAGACCCUUCCAUCAUGCUGUUUCUGCCUCGGAGCUCCCCAACCAUGGACUGAAUCCUCUGAAACCAUGACCAGAAAUAAACUUUUCUUCCUAUAAGUUAUGGCUAUCGGGUGCUUUGUCUUACUGACAGAAAAGUGACAAACAUAAUGAUCAAGAGAAAGCAGGAAGAAAGCACUAGAACUAUUUAAUUUUUGCUUUUCUUCCUUUAAAUAUUCUACUGGAGGCAUGUUUUACCAUGUACAGCAUAGAAUGAGAUGUGUAAAUGAGUGUUAUGCACAGACCCUGAGGAUCUGGGUUGGGUUGCUUGGAAGCAGGUUUCAAAAGGAAGGUUUAUGUGUGUGUGACUUAUUAGGUAGUUCCCCAUAAAACAGAGACUGAGGAAGGGCAGUGAGGGAGAGGAAGGAGUAGCAAGGACAUGCUAGGAAGGCUGGCUCAGACUUGGGUCUUCAGAAUCAAUGUCCUGGGGUCCCCAGGCACAGUGUAGGGCUCACCUCCAACUGUCCAGGUCAUGGAGGAGGGAGCUAAAUAUUGAUGACCCUGUAAUCAUGAGACCCCAGAUAAAGGUUGCCCCUGGGGGCAGAGAGGUGUCCCUUCCAGCAGUGGAAAGGCACCACAGCCUGAAGGUAGACCUUUAGCAGAGAUGCAGAUGACAAGAGUAGGAGUGAGAGCACCUCUCAGUGUGAGAGAAAUGGUGAGCACACAGUGUCUGUCAUGUGCAGUCUGUUCCUAGCUGGUUUCUGCUGAGGCAGAGUUGUGACCCUCAGCCCCGAAAGUGUGUGUUAGCCCUUCUCCCAUGCAGCCAAGGCCCUCGGGUACUGGAGAAGCUGUUGCGCUCCCAGAGUGCAGGUUCCUCUGGAGUUCCUGUGAGUUCCUGACUCAUGGGCAUAUGAUGAUGGUGAGACAAGACCCAACCAUGGGCUCCAGACGUGGGUCCUUGGUAUACAGAAGGCAUGGAUGGGGCCUGGAG